GAAAAUAACGUGUCCAUAGUACACGGAUGCCUCACUCCCACUAUCCUUAUUUUUUUCAGUGGACCGGGACAUUCAGUGGACCGGGACAUUGGUGUCAAAACUGUAAUUAGCAUUAAAAUUAGAAAGAUCAUAUCAUAGGGAACUUGUGUAUGGAGUUUCAUUUUAACCUGAAGCAGGACAGACGAACGAACAGACGCACAGACCGAAAAACAUCACGCUCCUAGGUACUUAUUUAGAGUUUACGCAAUCUUGAAUUGUUAAAAUGAUAAUCGAAAUAUAUCUCAAUACAGAUUUCUUUCAAAACGGUAAAACUAUAUAAGAUGUGUGUAUGUAAAAUGUUUUAUAUGCCAUGUCAGGACAUCAGGGAUAGACACCUUAAGCCAUGUGCAAUAGUAUUUUUAUCAUGAUAUAUGGAAACCAAUUGAAAAUAUAUCUGAUAUGCAAUAUUUCUUGUUAUCGCUAUUUUGUGCAUUUUUCCUUUGAUCUUUUUUUGUGAUAAUUUUCAUAUCAUGCUACUCGCUUGAGAUGGAAAAUUAUCGCUAGAAACUAAGCAUGCACGUGGCGUUGCUAACGAAAUUGACAUGAAAUUGACAACGUCGUCAUUGGUAAAAUAGCGAUAAAAAGAUUAUCAUUGUUCAUCUCAACUCGAUUUCCUUUCUCGCUUUCGCCGUCCCGGCUCAAGCGAGAAAACCAAUCUCGUUGAGAUGAUCACCGAUAAUCUAUAAUUAUCAUAUUUUAUAUAUUACUUCGACAAAAAAAUAUCACUGCAUAACAAAAAAUAUUUCAAGAAAUCUAAAAAUUAACUUUAUAUAUAUAUAAAUAUAUGAAGCUAUGGCUUUACUUACAUUCACAUUUUACUGCAAAUUGAAGCUUAAAUAGCUUAAUACAUUACGUUAAUGUUUUUGGGAUACUAAAUCUCAGAUUAAGAACGAACUGAUAUUCAGCUCUAGGAUUUAUAACACUUUUGGAUAAAAAGAUACAUCUUCAACUUCCUUUUAUUUUUUAAACAGUGUAAAUGUUUCUGCAAAAUAUUCUUCCUGUUCUCCUCUGUAUUUCCUCUUAAACUUGAUAAACAAAUCUAUUUUAUUUUUCCAAAUAAUCAUUGGGAACAAGGGAUUGAUUUCACAAUCGAAUUUGCGACGACGGUCGUAUUUUUAACGAGGUUAGAAAGUACAAAUUAUGAUUUGCUAAUGCAAUGCUAAGUAUCUUCUAUUGUCACGAGUUCUUAAUUAGAAGAAAGAAUAUACUUAGUAGUCUCGAAGUAAAAGACAGGAAUAUAAUUUGUAAAAUAUAAUUGUUAUAAAUAUGAACAAAAAAGUUAAAAUGAAAAUUAAAAUUACUACUGUACAAAAUCUUUGAACUUAACUACCUACAAUUUUACAAUUUUAAGAAUUUGUAGAUUUACAGCUA
rnacentral:lncRNA from 1 species